UCGAGUGUAGCUCAGUUGGUAGAGCGAUUGACUGUAGUGUUCUAUACUGUGUUUCAGUAUUCUCGGAAAUCAAUUGGUCGCUGGUUCGAUUCCGGCCACUCGGA
rnacentral:tRNA from 1 species